ACUCAAAGGAAUUGACGGGGGCCCGCACAAGCGGUGGAGCAUGUGGUUCAAUUCGACGCAACGCGCAGAACCUUACCAGCCCUUGACAUGGGACUCGCCGGUACGAGAGAUCGUACCUUCGGUUCGGCCGGAGUCCGCACAGGUGCUGCAUGGCUGUCGUCAGCUCGUGUCGUGAGAUGUUGGGUUAAGUCCCGCAACGAGCGCAACCCUCGUCUCCAGUUGCCAUCAGGUUAUGCUGGGCACUUUGGAGAAACUGCCGGUGACAAGCCGGAGGAAGGUGGGGAUGACGUCAAGUCCUCAUGGCCCUUACGGGCUGGGCUACACACGUGCUACAAUGGCGGUGACAAUGGGAUGCGAAGGGGCGACCCGGAGCCGAUCCUAAAAAACCGUCUCAGUUCGGAUUGCACUCUGCAACUCGAGUGCAUGAAGGUGGAAUCGCUAGUAAUCGAGGAUCAGCAUGCCUCGGUGAAUACGUUCCCGGGCCUUGUACACACCGCCCGU
rnacentral:rRNA from 1 species